CCCCACCCCGCCUUCAACAGAAUUUCACUCCUGUUGCCCAGGCUGGAGUGCAAUAGCGUAAUUUCAACUCACUGCAACCUCCGCCUCCCAGAUUCAAGCAACUCUCCUGCCUCAGUCUGCAGAGUAGCUAGGAUUACAGGCUCCCACCACCAUGGCCAGCUAAUUUUUUGUAUUUUUAGUAGGGACAGUUUCACCAUGUUGGCCAGGCUGUCUUGAAGUCCUGACCUCAAGUGAUCUGCCUGCCUCAGCCUCCCAAAGUGCUGGGAUGACAGGCAUGAGCCACCGUGCCUGGCCUACUCAUAUUUCUGCAAUGGUUUCUCAUCUCCCUUCAAGAGAAACCCAAGGCUCUGUAAGAUCCAACCUUGCUGCCUCUUCAACCUCAUCUCCUGCAAUCCUGCUUUGUGAUCAUUUGGGUGUAGCCACACUCUCCUCACUAGAUCAUGCACAUGCUCGGCCCUUUCCUUGCCAUUUCCUUGGCCUGGAACAUCUGUCCAAGGCAGCUCUGUGGCUCAUUCCCGCUUCAUCAUUUCUCUGCUCACGUGUUUCCUUCUUCAUGAGGCCUUUGGUCUCCUCUAAAUCAGCUACUCUCUUUUCAACAUUCCCAUUAGUUUGGAAUAAUAAGAGAAAACGUUACUAUUACAUGUUAGGUUCUCUGUUGAACUCUUGAUAUACAAUAAAUAACCUCAUUUACUUACAGCUAACCCGUGAAAUGGAAACUAUUAUUUUUAUUUAAAACGUAUAGCAACUGUGGCUUAGGGAUAUUAAAAUGAGCUUAAGUUCACAAAGCUGGUAAGCGGCAGAACUUGGAUGGAUCCAUCUGUCAGACUCUUAAUGCUAUCUUCUUAAUUGCUAUGUAAGUCUGCUCCAUAGAUUAGGAGGAUUCCAAAGACAUAAUAAAACUGGAUUUUGGCAAUUUAAAAAAUAAUUAUUUAUAUCAUCCUAUUGGCAAACAAAACUGGACUGUAUGAGAGCAUAGGUGAAUUCAGAGCUUGCUGAGCAAUGGCCCCCACAGAGUGUGGAUUAAUGUCAGUGCCCAAUUCGAUACAGGUCUGUAAUAGUGUUGCAGUGUUCUGGCUCUGCCCUGGUCUUGCUCUCAUUUCUAUUAUUGAACAGGAUCAAGACUGGAGAGGCCAAAAAAGAUGUGGCAUCAUUAUUCAAAAAAUGUUUUGAUGCAAUAAUGAAUUAAAUCAAACCAGAUAAAUCUCUACAGACUGAAGUUAAACUUUGCUAGGUUCAAAACUCAAUCUUGUAAAUUCAGGUGGGGAGAAAACAUUUCUUUGUUUCUGUCUUUUCUUUUUUUUGAGACAGAGUCUCACUUUGUUGCCCAGGCCGGAGUGCAGUGGUGCGAUCUCAGCUUACUGCAGCCUCUGCCUCCCAGGUUCAAGUGAUCCUCCCACCUCAACCUCUGGAGUAGCUGGGACUACAGGUGUAUGCCACCAUGCCUGGUUAGUUUUUGUAUUUUUUGUAGAGAUCGGGUUUUGCUAUGUUGUCCAGGCUGGCCCCAAACUCCUGACGUCCAGUCUUGGCCCCAAGCUCCUGACGUCCAGUCUUGGCCCCAAGCUCCUGACGUCCAGUCUUGGCCCCAAGCUCCUGAUGUCAAGUCUUGGCCUCUCAAAGUGCUGGGAUUGCAGGCAUAAGCCACCAUGCCUGGCCAGGAAAGAACAUUUCUUACCAAAGUUCAUGUAAAGAAACGUAGUGAUUUUAACUGAGCUUUCUCUUCAUGUGGACCCAGAGUGUGACACCAACCACACAGGUGUUUUUAGAAACCAUCAUAGUCUCAUUAAGAAAAACCCCUCAUCCAGAUUGAGGAAGAAUAGAGGUGAAUUGGGCUGCUAAACCAUCUCUUGUAUUUAAUCCUAUUGUUUUUUCAUCCUAUUGUUUUCAUUUAUGAAUCACAAGCUUUAAAGGAAAUAUUUACAAACUCAAGAGCACAAAGAAGACUGUGAUAAGGGUGGCGAAUUGGGGGAAUUAAAACCAUAUGAGAGACUCUUCCUGGAUUCUGAGUUGUUCAAUCUGAAGGGAAGAUGUUGGAAAAUUAAUUGUUGUCUCAUUUAGGCUUACUCUACUAUGUAAAAGGGAAUAAUUGGGGCCAAUAUAUGAAAACUACAAGGGAGCAGAUUUCAAGUAAAUGUAAAUAUUUUUAAUCAACAAUUAUGUCCUGUAUCCCUAAUGAUUACAGAAGAUAUUCCAGUGGAUAGUUGUAUCACUCUACCCCUACCUUCAAAGUGCUCACUGACCAGUAAGAGAGACAGCUCAAUUAUAAAUGUUGACCUGCUUAAAUGCAAUCACUGAAGUUGCUGUAAGAGUCUGUAGUUGCACAGAGGAAGGAGUGAUUAAUUCUCUCUCUGUAGGUGGUCAGGGAUAUUUCACAGAAGUGAUAAUUAAACAUAACUUAGAAGCAUAGGUAAGAAUUUUUCAGGGGGAUAAGUGGUACAGAAAGCUCCCUGGAGAAACUAGUAAAAUAGUUAAGUAUAUCAUAUAAGGAUGUGAAGAAGCCAAGUAAGGGUAUGUUAGUUUGUUCUGACACUGCUAUAAAGAAAUAACUGGAACUGGGUAAUUUUUAAAGAGAAAAGGUUUAAUUGGCUCACAGUUCUGCAGGCUAUACAGGAAGCAUGGCUGGGAAGGCCUCAGGAAACUUUUAAUCAUGGCAGAAUGCAAAAGGGAAGCAGACACGUCUUACAUGGCUAGAGCAGGAGGAAGAGAGAGAAGGGGAAGGUGCUACACACUUGUAAACAACCAGAUCUUGUGAUAACUCACUCACUAUCACAAGAGCAUCACUCAAGGAAAACCUGCCCACAUGAGCCAGUCACUUCCCACCAGGCCCCACCUCCAACAUUGGGGAUUACAAUUUGACAUGAGAUUUCAGUGGGGACACAGACCCAAAUUAUAUCAGGGUACAAUUUCAAAUGAAGUCCCAGACUCAGCCUGAUCCCAUGGGGAAAUCUGCAGCAUAAUUUACACCUCAGAGUUUGUUCCCCUUGAAGCAAAGGAGCUGAGCUUUUGUACUGCCACACUAGUCUAUCCAUGGUUAUGGGCUACCCUGAAGGAGGGGGUUGGAAUACAAAACCCCCAGGCAUGCGAGGGGCAGGGCAUCUCCAGAGCAAUGCUCUGAAGGUCGUAGGUAUAAGAUGUGAGCCAUUAGCAGCAAGGCAUGAAGAAGUUGGAGGGUGAGUACAUGACAUGCUUAAAGGGAUCUGGUGAAAGCACCAUAAGUGUCCUUUACUAGGGACAUAAAAAAGAGGGUUUUGGCUGGGUGUGGUGGUGCAUGCCUCUAAUUUCAGCACUUUGGGGGAAAAAAUGUGCUGUGUGGAAGGUGGAAGGAUUGCUUGAGCCAGGAGCAGAAGACUAGCCUGGGCAACAUGGCAAGACUCUGUCUCUUAAAAAAAUACAAAAUUAGGUAGCUGUAGUGGCAUGUAACUGUGGCCCCAGCUACUCGUGAAGCUGAGGUGGGAAAAUCUCUUGAGCCCAGGAGGCAGUGAGCUAUGAUUACACCACUGCACUCCAGACUGAGUGACAAUGCAAAACCCUGUCUUAGAGAAAGAAGAGAAGAGGAGAAGAGAAUAGAAGAGAAGAGAGAGAAGAGAAGAGAAGGAGGGAAGGAAGGAAGGGAGGGAGGGAGGAAGGAAGGAAAAAGAAAGAAAAAGGAAGGAAAGAAGAAAAGAAGAAGGAAAGAAAGAGAGGUCUUCUAGUAAAAGAACCAGCCAAGUAAGGGUGUGGAAUAUGAUGUGUGCUUAGAGGGACUGGUGCAAUUUUACUGGAAUAAAAGGGUGAAUAGGAAGAAAAAGACUAAAGAGCUAAGGUGGUCAACUUUUGUGGUACUAAGGAAAAACUCCUUCAGUAGGUUGUCUCAGGAGAGAAGGGAAUCCCAUGGAUAUCUUAGGGAAAAAUCUAUAGUACAUUGAUACUUCAUGGAGCUUUUCUGGAUGGCAAUUCAGGGUCCAGGUCAUAUAGGUAUCUCAUUGGAGGAUUAAUGGGUUAUCAUUUUAGUUCUCUACAAGAUUUUUUCUUCUACCUUUCCUGAUUCAAAAUCUGAGGUUGACCUAGCAAACCAUCACUGACCUAGUCUGAGAAGAACAUUUUGUAUCAGCAUAUUUCUUAACUUGCUGCAAAGCCUGGGCCUGCUAGCUAUCAGCUGACACUGGGAAUAUAGAUCACUACAUUAUUGGGCAUGACGGAGAUUAAAGUAAGAAAGGGAGUAGUGGCCAUAGUCCAUGUGCCAUGAUUGACCAGAAUAAGCCUUUCUGGAGCCAGGUGAAGAAAAUCCUUGUAUCAGUCAUUCAUGGCGUGGAACCAACUUCUCAGGGCCAUGCACGUGGUAAGUGAGUCAAGUGAGGCCACUGAGGUGAGUGUGGCAACAGGGGCACACAAUUUAAAGAGGUGCUCACUCUUAUGGCUGUGGAGGUGCAAAUGAGGCCUCCUUAAGUUUUGCACCCUAGGUGCUUCACUUCCCUCAACUUAGUCCCAGACUUAGAACUUAACAGUUUAGCUUAUGUACUGUGGGUUAGUACUUUGGGAUGAACUCAGCUGGUCGGUUCUUCUCACUCCCAGUGCAGCCCCGUAAGCUCUAACUCUGCUGCUUCUUCAGCCUCAUCUUCUGGUUUGCACUAGGCUUGUUUAUGUGUCUGUGCUCAGCUGAGUUUAACUCAUUGAUGAUGGCACUGGCUGCAAUAUUUGGUUGUGAAAAUUGUCACUCCAGCAGCCAGAGGAAGAAGCACUGGUGAGGUGAGACUGGAGGUAACGACAAAUCAGAUGCAGACAAAAAAUGACACCUGUUACAAGAAAGAAGGAGGAUGUAGAAAAGAAGAGGACUGAGAAUAUUUAACAGAACGAAUAUGUAUUGAUAACAUAACUGGCAUGCUGGAAAAAAGCAAAAACAAACAAACAAAAAUAAACCACUAGAAUUUUAGAUUAAAUCCACUCCAAAGGGAGGGCUUCCAGUUUCAGUUAGGUCCUAAAUUCUUCCCUCUGUCCAUGGCUAUUCCAACAUUCGCUUUCUUCAACUCUUUCCAAUUUCAUUGCUACUCACUCUCAGCCAACAAUCUUGCUUCCUUAUUCACAAAGAAAAUUGACGUCAAUGAUGGCAAAUUAACUCAUCUUCCAUCUGUCUCCAUCUACUCCCCACCUUCCUUUCCACCUUAUCUCUGGCCGCCCCCACCAUGACUAUUUCCUAGGGUUCUCAGAGGGCAGUCUCUUCCUGUUCAAGCUUAAGGCCUCUUCCUGUGAUCACCAUCUCAUUUCCCUUCCUCUUCUUGGAUCUUGCUCCAACUCCUUUUACCAAAGGUUAUGGUCCCUGUUUCAGUAUUAUGGGGGAGAAAGGCAUUAAAUGUACCAUAAUAUAUAAUAGAAGCAUACUUUCAAAAAUUCUGUUUGGUUGUAACUAGCAAAUAACCAAGUACUUAAAAACAGUUUGUACAUCUUAUAUAAAUGAGCCAGUCAUGAAGUUUCUUUGUUUCGGAUUCGGAACUAUGGAACUAUGUAAAAAGUGUUAACUCUCUCCUGAAUUCACACAGCACAUUAUUUUUUAGUUCUGGGUAACUCUGGUAUUUUACCUGAAACAAUCAGUAGUCAGUGAGAUGCUCGGGGGCUUGAAGGAGAUAGAACUACUGGAAGGAGAUCAGAGAGUAAGGACAGACAUGACUGAGGGAGUGGGAGGGAUUCAUUUAUGUGGAAACAUGAAAGCAGAAUUAACUAGGCAAUGACUAAUGAUAUGAUAACUGUCUACAAACACCAAACGUGUAUGAUGUGAAUGCCAAAACGUCAGAUUGCUUCACUUGGCACAAAGAUACAAUCUGCAGAUAAAAUGGAGCAUCCUGAAUUACCGUCACAGAAAAUCCCCCAAAAUAAGUAGAUAUCAAAAUGAUUUCAUGAAGACAACUUCCUUUCUUAGGACAACUCCCAUCCAUCCAUCCAUCCUCCAUCCCUUUCUUCAGUAAACUUUAAGUACUUCAGGAGUUAUAAAGCAACCAGCUCUUUCGCUUUCCCCAUUCAUACCUCAGGGGCCUCAGCCUCUAUCCUUUCCUUUCUUCAUUGCCUGAGUGGCCUUCUGGAAUAAUCUUUAUUGCUACUUUCCAAUAAUAGCAAAAAUAAAUUAUUGCUAAAAAGGCCAAAGCAAUGCAUCUUGAUAUAUAAGUUAACUCAGGAAAAAAAAAAUCCACAGCAGCCUUGACAUUGCAUUCAAAGCUACUGUUAAUCCCGGAGGAGGUAGACCAGCCUAGAGAGUGAAUGUGGUUCGGUACAGUCCAUCACCACUACUCUAAAAGCACACCAACCGUUGUGUCAUUGACUCCCCAUUACUUACAAAUUCUCCCUUUCUCCUGUGUGAUACUGACUCACCCCUCCUGUCAUCAUCUUCACAGAUCACCAGGGCAGUGGUAAGCCCAUUUCUAAGUAGAGGUACUCAAAGUAUCCCUUUGCUUGGAAAAUUUACCAUCAUCAUCACUGACACUAAGGAUUAAAUAAUAAUCCCACAAUCACACAUUUAUUCAAUAAACUCACAUCGAGUGCUGGCAUCAUGCUAAGUUCUUGGCUGCAGCCUAAAAGCUGGUGUCACACAGAAUGCCAAGACAGUCUCAUUUUCAAGGAAAUGUUUGGGUGCUGCUUGCACCAGUAAAGACAAUCAGUUCGGAGCUGUAUUUAUGUAUGUAUGUAUGUAUUUAUUUUUUGAGACAGAGUCUUGCUCUUUCACCCAGGCUGGAGUGCAAUGGUGUGAUCUUCACUCAUUGCAACCUCUGCCUCCAGGGUUCAAGCGAUUCUCCUGCUUCAGCCUCCUGAGUAGUUGGGAUUAUAGGGACCUACCACCAUGCCUGGCUAAUUUUUCGAUUUUUAAUAGAGACUGGGUUUUGCCAUGUUGGUCUGGCUGGUCUCGAACUCCUGACCUCAGGUGAUCCACCAACCUUGGCCUCCCAGUGUUGGGAUCACAAGUGUGAGCCACCGCCCCCACUGGAGCUGCAUUUUACAAAGUAUCGGUGUCUCAAGCCCUGUGGUGGACUGUAGGUACAGAUAUAGGAGUUACAUGUGUGAAUGGGGUAGGGCCAAACAGCAAUGAGUUGGUAGAGAUAUUUUAAGAAAGAAUCCAAGGAGGUUUAGUUUAUUGUGGAAGGUUGGGAAUUGGAGGUAGAAAAUUACUAAAUUCUUUAGAACAACCAAGGAGAAAAUAUGAUUCUGUGAAUUCCUGCAAAGGCGAUGGACCCAGGAAAUGGUUGGGGCAUUCUACUUCCAGACUUGAACAGGAUGAAACUGGAAAGUAUUGAUAAAGGACUAGACUGCUGAACUUUUGAAACAGGCCUUCCAACUUUCCAAAAAGGAAAUGAACAUUAGAUAUUUAAGUGGUCUUUAUUGCCAUCAAGUGGUGGAAACAAGGAUAGCGCUAAAAGAAUUUAAUAUGAUUUUUUUUUUUCUAAGUGGCAAGGAGGCUGGAAGUUAAACGUCAAGUAAUUAUUGGGUUUAAAAGCCUUUAUUUAAUUUGGUACCAUCACAGAUUUGGAACCUUUCCUGUAUUUAUAAGUUCUGUAUUAAUGAUUCUCCCGAUUUCUGCUUCUGGCUCUAUCCAGUUCCUAUCGCGUUAGUUGAUGAUGACUAUAUCAUUGGAGAAAUGCUGCCACCUGCGGGAGACGUGAAAAAAAGAACCGAGAGCAAUGUGCUGGAACAGAAUUACUGUAAACCAGCAAUCCUGACCUGGAAUUCAUGGAUGGGCUUCAGAGGACCUGGGACCUUCUGAAAUGACAGGCUUUAAUAAAGAACAAAGAAAGGAAAUAAAGCAGCAGCCAGCAGCCAUUCUCCACCUCCACAGCUUGGAAACCUAAAGGAGACCUGAACUGGUGUGAGGGAGAUUUAAAUUGAAUGAAUUUAGAUUUAUGUAAUUUUUGAAUAAGAUUAGGUUUUAACUUAUUUAAUAGUGCCUUAUUACUUAAUAGUAUCAUGUGAACUAUGAGUUCUGUCCAAUAUUCACUCAGAGGUAGAGAAAAAACAAGUUGGGAGUGUAGAUUCAAAGAGACAGUGGCAAGAGGAAAAGUUGUUUUCUUUUCUUUUUUUAAUCUUGUACUCUAUUGAAUACAGCUUAUUUAAUAAACUAGAUUCAAGAGCCUUACUUCCUGAAGGCCAGUGGGAGGAUGAGCAAGCGGAUCAUGAGGGCGUAACUCAAAUUAGACCACGAAGCCUACUCUUGUUAUUCAUGAGGCUAGCCCCAAAAUAAUGCAAGGAUUUAUCUAGUUUCUACUAAAAUAAUGACUACUCUUUUUUUAGGUGUUUACUAUGUUUUAUGUAUUAUAUAAUUUCUACCUCACAAUGAGAUAUUUUAAUAAAUUGUGUGUGAAAAAGACUAAGUCACUAAGUCAUAGAAGUAUGUAUAGAAGGUAAGUAUAGAAGCCAGCACUGAAAGCCAGGCUUGUCCAACUCCGGAGCUUAUGCUCUCAACCAUUACCUUAUUCUGACCUUAAAGGAGCUAAAAAACCGAGUUCUUCUGAUUUUUCGGCAUGCCUUUUUAGGCAGUCUUUUUUGUGAUACUCAUAUAUAAUAACCACGAAAUUGCAUCAUUUCCAACCAAACAAACAAAAGCAAUAAAAUACCUUUCUCAUGUCCCUUCACCUAUUAUCUUGCUCUUUCACAUUUAUACAUAGGAGCCAUAAAACAAACAACUCACUCAAACUGAUUACACUAAAAUUAAAAUUUGAGAAUAUGUGUAGUUGUUGAAAACCCAUUCAGCUGAAAAAAAAGAAAGAAAAAGUAUUUUAACCUAGCCUGUUGUCUGUAUCAAGUUUCAUAUGGUGAAGGAAACCCUGAAGAGAAUUACUGUUCUAGAGAAAAUUUGAUCAGCAAGGAAGAAGUUCUUGGUAAAGAAGGGCAGGUCUACACUAGCUAGAAAAGAAGGCUUCCCCCAGUCAGAUGUAACCCCAGAGUUCUCGGAAAUGGCAUAAAGCUAAGAGAAUAGGAUUAGGAUCUCAGAAAUGCAAAUGACCAUGAGAAUAAGAGGACUGCAUCUGAGAAACAGAUGUAGCUACCCAGAACUCUCUCCAUCAAUUUUGGUUUACACAAGAACAGGCAAAUAAUGUGAAAGAAUACAUACUUGAACCAGGAAUUACAUGGACCUGGAUGAAUGAUAUGAAAUAGGCUAAUAUUCAGAAUAAACAAAGGUUUAUACAGUUUCUCCUUAAUCCCAGCUCAAGCACCUUACACACUCAGCAUUUUCAAAGAUGAGGGCACACUUCUCAUUGCUGGAUGAAGCUUAGAGAAAGGCUAUCUAUAGAUUUUGGGGAAUGGAAGAGGCCAGGCUCACUUUCCCAGUCUCAUGGGUGACAGGGACAGCAGAGAGACCAGGUGACUCAGUAACUGUCUCCCACUCAGGGAACCUUGAUUUGGUCGUUUGGUGAUUCUCCUACAAGUUUCAGGUUGUCUGGAUCAUAGAAAAGAAGCACAUUCAGAACACAGAAUAGGAUUUUCAUAAUAAUUUUAAUAGAGAAGAAGCCUAUUUCCCUCCACCCCACCCCUAUCCUUUACGAUAUGUGGUGGAAAAGUGUUGUACUAAUCAGAAUUAUUUUCUAGCAGAAGAAUGUGAUUUUGAGAGAAAAUCUUUAGCCCAUUUGGAGAAGGUGAGACUCUAAGCAAGGGAGCAGCACAGUGAGAACCUCAGAUGUACCUACCUCAGAAGGCCAUUGUGGACAUAAAAUGUUAAGAUCUGUAAAGCACGGGGCACAAUGCCUGGCAUGCAGUAUAGUAUCACAAUGUUCUAUUGUUGUUGUCUAUAGAAUCUUGCUCAGAAUGAAUCUCAAGAAGUUUUUUAUUUGCUAUAACUACAUUCUUUUCUUUUUGAACAUGAAAACAUUUGCCCAUCUGUAGACUCUUCAUAUCUGUCUUCUUUGUCUCUAAAAUCAGAAAAUGAAAACCCAGGUCUCCUGUGGGUAUUCCAUGCUCUUUGCAAGCAGGAUGAUACAAUUUAUGAGGACUAAGGAGAGUUGCGUACAAUUUGCAGUUCCCUUAUCUUUUUGAACUUCAGUUAUUUUCCUCUUAAAUUUGGAUUUAAUACCACUUUUAUUGAUAGAGAAACUUGAAUGGAAUGGGCAUUUGGUAGUUCAUUUUUUAUAUUGUCCACAAUACUAAGUCUAUUCUUUUAUUGUUGUUGUUCCUUCUUCAGAGUUUAAAUGACCUUUUAAUAGAUCUUAAUAUCUUAUAUAAAGGUGUCUAGGGAUGCACUGCUCUGCCUGCCAUGCCAUUCCAACUCCUCACCCCGAGGGGGAGUGAGGACUUCUGAGAGGUGGCAUGGAGAAUGAGUUUGGGCAAUAGCCCUUCAUACAAAUCCUGAAAGGCAGCCCAUUUGCUAAAACAAGGGGUUGGAGAGAGAGCACAGGAAGCCGCUCAGAUCCUAAUGUCAGUCAGUUCUUUCCUCACAUACUCCUCUGCCUCUUUAGAACCUGAGUCUUCUCUAGUAGAAGAUUAGCAAUAUCACAUGAUUGCUUAACUCAGUCCAAUCAUGGAUGAAACACUGAAAUCCACCAAGGAAAUAAAAUUUGUGAAAAUCAGUAUAGAAUGUGUAAUAGUACAAGUUAUAUAAAUACUGAAUACAUAACAUCAAAGCUUAUUUGAAUAUGCAUGGAGAAAAUUCCUUGAGAACACACCUUGUGAUAGCACAAAUGCAACUGACACACAGUUGGCAACUGGUACUUGUUCUGGGCUAAAUUUCCCAUGUGCUGUCACAACUCAUUGCUGGGAGAAUUAAUCCCAUCCUAUGUGACUCCUCUGGAAGAAGACUCUUGAAGUCUGCUCCUGGUUUCCUCCAGACUUAGCUGCUUGAAUCUUUUUCUUGUAUUGAUUAUGCUUGGUAUCUUUUAGUUGUAAUAAGUCAUGACUAUGAAGUUCACUAUAGGUUGAGUCCUGUGAGUCCUCAUAGGGAAUCAUCAAACCUGAAGGUUGUCUUGGUAACCCCCAACUCAGUAUCCUUGAAAAGUUUCCUAUUCCCUGCAUCAUAUUGGGGCCAGUUCACUGCAGAAAUGUUUCUGGUGGGGACAGAGAACUGUUUCCACACUAUGUAUCAAUUUCUGGCCCUGCAUAGACUAAACGAGAGGAGUGGCCGUGUUCAUUGACCCAUGGUGUAAAGUUAAUAAUUUUUUACCCAAGUCUUUUUAACACAAAUAUUAUAGAAGAAUGACUUUUGAACUUAAUUUUUCAGCUAUGGACAUUUAUGUUUAUGUAUAGAAAAACCUUAUGGGAAGGCCAGUGCAUGAACUAUUUCAAAGGCUGCUCUGGUUGGGGAAGCCCUCAGAAUCUUACCUGUUCACUAUCCUUCCCACUUUCUGACAUCAAGCUGGAAAAUUCGACUUGGAGCUUACUUUAAAAAAAACUGUAUACCAUAAAUAAAAGCAUUCUUCAAGUGUAUGUCCUCAUGGAGGGAAAUAGAUGUUAAAGUAACUGCAUUAUUUACUAGCUAACUUACAAAUGAAUACCAAAAUUAGGUUAUGAUAACAUCAUGUUCAUUUCUUUAAUCAGAAAGGAAACUCUGAACAUGAGAAAGUCAUGUAUGGCAUGGCUAAGGGUAUAACUAAAGUCCCACUUCUAUGUCUGACUGUUUUCCCUUAGUACAUAAAAGAGAGAGUAGGGAACUAACUGUUUUUAAAGUAUCUAUUAUGAGCACACUAUGCAUUAUUUCUCAUAAUACUUAGAAAGCCCUGAGAGGUACUUUCUCGCCAUUUUAAUGGCCAGGAGGAAAAUCAUCACAUUGUUGCAGAAUUGGGAUUUGAAUCUAGCUCUAAAUCAUUGGUACAACAUACUGAACUCCUCAGCCUCAGUCUGUCAGAUCAUUCACUGUUUGACCCAAAUCUCUGGCUUACUAACCUCAUGUGCUGUGUUUCUUUUUCUUCUAGUUGCUGAAGUCAUUUUAUCUCAAUAAAGAAUGGCUGGAAGGCCCUACUUCUAUAUGCCCUGCAAAACAGAUAGAUUAGGGGAAAGACAUCUGAUCGUCCCUCUUCAAAUAGAAGGCAUUGAAAUCUGGAUGAGCAUGUAGCCAAAAAUAUCCUCAAUGGUUCGGCAGUCCUUGCUAAACUGAGCACACAGGAAAUGUGCUUUAAUUACCACUGGCCACGUCUAUCUGAAAGAUAUUUUGCGGUUUGUGACUGUUUCUUAGUUAGCCUGAUGCUUUUGUUUAAAAAGUUGGUUCCUGAUAGCUGCUUGUCAGCCUGAGUUUCCUAAUUGGCUCCAGUUUUUCUGUGUUUCUUAAAGUUGCGCUUCAGUGAAUCCUGAAAGCAUUUCCUCUUUCCUCCCAGCUCAUGAUUAUCCCACUUCAGCUAGUCAUACUACAGCUGCUUGGGAUCCAGCUGUCACCCUCCAGUGCACGUGAGCAGUCCAGCAGAACGACAUUACUGUGUACCCUGGCUUCACUCCAAGACGGGGGACGGGGGUGACAUUACUCCCCUUGGAUGAUGGAGGAUUGAAGAAUGAAGGAAGUUAGGACAAAGUCAAUAGCUAUAAACACCCCAUCAAUCAGCAAGGUGUAGUUCCAACAGGUGACAGAUAUUUGAACAGCAGAGAUAACAUGUACUUUCGUUUUUGUUUACUCACUCCCUCAAGGCUUAAAGACAGCAGUGAGAUAGUAUGUGCUUCUCAACACUCUCUAUGAAACAUGUUGGGAAUAAGGAGGUUCAACUCUAGAUGGAAAAAUGGUAGGCCACCAGGAAACCAGCCAGCAUGGCAUAAAGGUGAGAGUAGUCAACAGAAAGAAGUGCACCACUCAUUAGCAAAGACCAAGACCAAAAAAGAGGAGCAAAAUAGAUUCAGUUUGGGUUCACACCAGGCUCAAGAGGUUAUUUUAAAGAAUUAUUAAAAGGAUUAUCAAUUUUAUUGGUAUUGUACAUUUUAACCCUUGUAGCCUAAGUAUGUAUCAUUAAUUCUGUUUUAUAGGUGAGAAAACCAUGGCCCUGAGAAUUUAAGACCUUUGCCCAAGGUAAUGUCAUUAGUAAGUGGUAGAGAUGGGAUAUGAACUUGGUUCAGCUGACCUGAAAGCAGGUGCCAAUCAGCUAUGCCAUACUGUGAUCAAAACCAAGGCAGCAUUAUCAAGGUGCAAUUAUCAAAUGGAACUGUUUAUGGUCUCCCAGAAAUGAGUCCUUUUUUGUUCCUUCUUUAUCUUAGUUACUGGCACCAGGAUUGACGAGUGCCAAGUCUGAAAGCUGGGACUCAUCUUGAUGCCUGCUUCUCCCUCACUCUUCAAGACUCAGCUCAUACAUUGCUUCCUUUACAAGUCUUCCUUUACCUCCAGGUUAAAUACAACCCCCAUUAUAAGCCCAUACCAUCUACAGCAUCCUGUUAAUAUAUUAUGUGCUUAUCUUUCUCUUCCACUUUAUCUGGGCAUCUCUAGAGGUUUAAGAUGCAUUCCACACAUCUUUGUAUCUACAGCACAUAGCAAAUGACUGUCACAUAGUUCGUACUUUAAGACAAUAAUUGAAAUAAUAGAAAGGAUGGAUGACUGACUGAAUGAAUGAAUGAGUGGAUAUCAGAAUAUAAAGAAAAGCAUAUUUCCUUUCAAAUUUUUUUCUUUUUAGCAUUAACUGAAAGAUAAUUUUUCACCCAGGAAUGUUGAAUAUUUUAGUGGACAUUGUCUUUGGUGGCAGUUUUAUAAGAUGUAUGGUAGGGAAAUGACAAGUACACAAUAUGUUUAUAGUUUUAAUAAACACUAAAUAAGCACUUUGGAUGGCCAUAGGCCAUCAGAUAUUAUUAAGGAAAACAAGGGCUUCUUCAGGAUACUUAAUAAACAAUUCAAUUAUGGAAAGCCACUUUGGGCAUUAAGGAUGCCAAAAUUCAUACUGAAGAUUUGUCAAGGGCUGCAUUUAUUUUUUCCUGGCAUAGACACUGGAUACACGUGCUUUCUGAAUUCUCUUCCUUCAGUUGUAUGAAGCUUAGCAGAAGUCACUUGGCAAGUUUAGGACUAACUGUGGCUGAUCAGCUCCAGCUGUUUGUUUCAAUGUGGUGACUGAGCUCCAUGGAAUUGUUACUACUUGCUUCAUACACCUGGGGAAUAAAUAUUGUUGCAUUUCUUGCAUUUUUCCAAAUAAUUGUUUGAGAAGACCACUUUUAUUAUUAACAAAGUCCAGAAUCACUCUCUUAAUGCCUUCUCCACAACACUAAUUUCCCACAACCUUCAGGGUUUGAUUAAUUUGAGAAGGGGCCUGGGAUUAGCACAGCUUUCAAAUGCCAAGUACAAAGCAAACCAGGAUAGUGGAUGAGUCUACUUCUGCCCUUGCUUCUUGCUGUUGCAGUCAGUUGUCAGAUGUUUAGUGAAUAGCUCCCUGUCUAUCCAGUGCUCACUGGUGCCCUCUUAGAAUCCUAGGCUGAAACUCUUUUCAUUUCACACCCAUGUGGUCAAAGGUUUUUCUGAAAGUGCAGCCACUGAGCUAAGAUACAUGGUGAUUCUGGCUUCAGUUACCCACUGGGCUGGAACCAGUCCUCCCACCAAUUCUUAAGACCUUGUGUAGAAUGAAGGUCAUCAAAACGGACUUCCCUUGAAUAAUGUGAAGUUUUUGAUGAUCUUUCCUGCCAGUGAAGUCUUGUCAAAGCCACUUGGCCCACUGGAUUCUUUAACUUACAGUUUUGGAGAUGUAGGGGUUAAGGCUCCGUUCUUGCUUCCAAAUCCUUAGGUUCCUAUAUAAAUAAAUCCUCUUUUCAGAAAUCAUUGCUUUUCAGAAUAUUUUGAGGAAGAACUUGCCUCUCUCCCUUCAUCUGGAGCAGUGAGUAUUAUACAAUGAAAGGUCAGUUCCAGUGCUCUAAAUAAAUAUAUAUAUUUAAAAUUCUAUGUUCCUCUCUAUUUCUAUAUUGCUAUGUCUAUCUCUAUUUCUAUCUCACUCUCUUUUUCUAAAUCCUUGUAACAAUUGUUCAUUACCCACAGAGAGAAUCACCAGAAUUUCAUUAACAUUUAUUUUUGUCACAGAUUUUAUCACCAAUAUCAUUGGCUACAAAAGGAAUGGUGAUAGAGCUCAAUGGUAGACUACCCUAUGCUAUUGUAAUUACGAGUGAAGCCUAUGAACUGAUUAAACUGCAGAUUGUCUGAUGAUGAGCUGAACAUCCAUGAGAAGACUAUCUCUCGAACAUUUGUAUUUAAUAAUAACUGUACUUCUUCUUAACUGGGUACUAUUUAUCCUACAAAAAUUGUGAAUGUAACAUUUGAUUGAUUUCUUGGCUUAAAAAUUCAGAAUUAAAUGAAUAGGACCUCACAGUAAGCAUGUGUUUUUUCUAAUAUUUCCCCUGAUUUACCAAAAAGUUUUUUUUUGUUCUAUCGAGUGGUUGCAUUUUCUCAAUAUAACUUUAAAAUGUUAAAUUUAAAAUAUUUUUGGAUAAAAAUUAUGUUACAAAAACAAGGAGGAAGUUUCUAGUAUCUUUGUAUACAAGCAACAUUUCUUUUUUUUUUCCAACUUUUAUAGGUUCAAGGGAUAUAUAUGCAGGUUUGUUACAUGAGUAAAUUGCAGGUCAAGGGGGUUUGCUGUACAGAUAGUUUCAUCACCUCAGUAAUGAGCAUAAUAUCCAAUAUGUAGUUUUUCAAUUUUCUCUCCUCUACCCUCGAAAAAACUCCAUUGUCUAUCAUUCCCUUCUUUGUGCCCAUGUGUACUCAAUGCAUAGCUUAAAAGUAAAAACAUGUUGUAUUGUGUUUUCUGUUUUUGAAUUAGUUUGCUUAGGCUAAUGGCCUCCAGCUCCAUCCAUGUUUCUGCACAGGACAUGAUUUCAUUGUUUUUUAUGGCUGCCUAGUAUUCCAUGGUGUAUAUCUACCACACAUGCUUUAUCCAAUCCAGCAUUGAUGAGCAUCUAGAUUGAUUCUAUGUUUUGUUGUUGUUAAUAGUGCUGCAGUAAACAUAUAUGUUCAUGUGUCUUUAUGGUAGAAGGAUUUAUAUCCCUUUGGUUAUAUACCCAGUAAUGAGAUUGCUAGGUUAAAUGGUAGAUCUAUUUUAAGUUUUUUGAGAAAUCUCUAGACUGUUUUCUGCAAUGGUUGAACUAAUUUACAUUCUCACCAGUGGUGUAUAAGCAUUCCCUUUUCUCUGCAA